AUGGAAGUAAAUACAGCAAAGAGAAAAUGGAAUCAUCAACCGCUGUGCAAGGUUGGAAACUGUAGGGAGUCCAGGAGUGGGAGAGCUUCUGUCCCGGAGGAGAAGAGCCAUGGAUAUGCUGCCACAAUUGAGAUCGCAGAGACAGGGCCACAACAGGAACUCCUGUCCUCAUUUCAACUACUUCACUCCAGCCGUUUUGUUUCCAAGUCUCUCAAAGCAAUCCAGGAAAAACUUUAAAUCAGCAUCGGUUUGAUUCUUGACUACACUUGUUUACAUUAACAAUCUUUUCCACACUAUUUCAAGGUCCACAAAUGUCGAGUCUUUAAGUAACAAUUUGCAAUCAAGUAAAAACUUCUAUUCCUCCAACACAUAAAAUAGCUGAAGUUUUUAAUGUGGCGUAACCUUUGGGUAUGGUAUGAAAAUGAUGGGUGAUGUCUGGAGUUGAGUUUCCUUUUCUUCCUUUAAGUGGAGGGCUGCCCCAAUAGCAAAGUUGGCACAAAAUAGAAGAUUCCCUGGCUCUGCUGUCCCAUUCUGUGCCAGCCCCUGACCUUCAGCCGCUGCUUUGACAAGGCUGAGUCGCCUUAACUCUCCCAUCACCGCCAUGGAGAAUCUCGCAACUGGUCUUCUUUUUUUUUUAGGGAUGUACCCGCAGCACAUGGAGGUUCCCAGUCUAGGGGUCAAAUCAGGGCUUCAUCUGCCAGUCUACACCCAGUCACAGCAACACAAGAACCAAGCCACAUCUGUGACCUACACCACAGCCCAUGGCAACACCAGAUCCUUAACCCACUGAGGGAGGCCAGGGAUCGUGAGAACCUGAUAUCGUCCUCAUGGAUACUAGUCAGGUCCUUAAACCGCUGAGCCACAAAGGGAUCUCAUCAACUAGUCCUUUCAUCCUUUACCACUGAGUCACCCCAAGAGGCUGGGGAGUGAGUCUUUUCUUGAGGCUUGGGGCUGGGUAUGGCCUGAAGGGACCAGCCAAAAACAAGCACAACAUUUACUUGAAACAUUCUAAAUUUGCAUUCUAACUCCAAAAAUAUGUAUCUGUACCUAUUCCCCCCCAAAAUCUCUCCAGUGAAUCCAAUGUUCCAGGAAGAUGGCAACUGUGCCUGUGUUGGGAGCAUCCCUGACUGAAACUGCCCACCUUGGCCAGGCACAAUAAUAGCCACUUGCAUGACCUGUCACAACAGGAGGCCCUGAUAAGGCACAUGGUGCUGCACCCAAGACUAACUGGGUGGAUUUGGGAGGGGCCAAUAGGAGAGAGGAGACAACCAUCCUCCCAGGAUCCUUGGUGCUGGAAUCCAUGUUGGCUGAGAGCUGCAGGUGCCACUAAAAAGGACCCUGCGUCAGCUUAAGUAUGAGAGGAGCAAGACAAUUGGCCAGAGACAAUACGAAAACAAACCUCAUUCCCAUAAAACCAGAGACAGCGAGCCACAUGGCAGAGCAGUUCUCCUGAGUUCCCUUACCCUGCUGCUCUCCACCUGGGUGCCCCUUCCCAAUAAAGACUUUUGCUUUGCCA
rnacentral:lncRNA from 1 species